UGAUAAUAAUCUAACUUAAUCUUAACUUAAUUUAAAUUUUUAACUUAAUUUCAAUUUAAUUAUUUUAAUUUUAUCUAAAAUUAAACUUAAUCAUAACUUAAAUUAACUUAAAAUUGUAAUAACACUUAUACACUAACACUUUAUACACCCUACACAACAUAUACAUUAACAUAUAUACAUAAAUACACUCAAAACCUAUAAAAGAAAUGAGAAUUUAAAAAUCUAAAUUUCAAAAUAAACCUAAAUUCAGCAUCACAUCAGGCCUGUUGUCAUCGUUGGAUUAUGUUUGACUUUUGUAUAAAUGGAAGAAUUUUUGAAAAAACAAUGAUGAGACAAAAACGAUGGUUUGCUACUUUACAUCAGGGGCACAACAAUUCAAAAUACAUUGUUACCGAAUUUUAACCUAACAGAUCUUUAAAUCUAUUGCACAUGGGCAAAAUUUAAUUUAUUGUCCAUCGGAACAAAAAAUAAAUAAUAAAUAUAUUGCCAAUGGACUCUAUUGUUGAGGAUGAUGGACUUCCAAAGAUGCCAACAAAAUCCAGUAUUUAUUUCAAGAAUCCGCUUCGCUAGGGCCAAAUGUUUGGCAUCAACCCAAUUUGUAAAAUAUUGUGUAUAAAAAUAAAACAAAAUAAACAGUUUCAAAUUUUUAUGAGACGUAGAUCUGUUUGUAGUUUUUUUAGAUGAAAGAUAACGUGCA